ensembl:lncRNA
AUGGAGGACCACAAGAGCCACGCGCAUCGAAAUAAAAAUUUCUGUGCUUUAAUAAUGAAUUGUAGAAUAAAUUCUGCAAUUGUAAAUUCAUUUUUGAAUUCCAGUUUAAUAAACUGCAUUUCAAAAUCCUUUUUCCACUUGCAAUUUAAUAAACUGCAGUUCAAAAUCCUUUUCCACUUGCAAUUUAAUAAACUGCAGUUCAAAAUCCUUUUCCACCUGUAAUUUAAUAAACUGCAGUUCAAAAUCCUUUUUUCCACUUGCAAUUUAAUAAACUGCAGUUCAAAAUCCUUUUUCCACUUGCAAUUUAAUAAACUGCAGUUCAAAAUCCUUUUUCCACUUGCAAUUUAAUAAACUGCAGUUCAAAUCCUUUUUCCACCUGCAAUUUAAUAAACUGCAGUUCAAAAUCCUUUUUCCACUUGCAAUUUAAUAAACUGCAGUUCAAAAUCCUUUUUCCACUUGCAAUUUAAUAAACUGCAGGUCAAAAUCCAUUUCCCUUUCCUGUUCGCUCCGGGAUUAGCUGCUGGAUUAGCUCCUGGAUUAGCUCUUCGAUUAACAACUUGCUGGAGGCUAUUCAAAUUAGCCACACCGUGGGAUGUAAGGAGCUCUCUGAUUGGUUGGUCAGACACAGGCUGUCUGCCAGCCUGGAUUUUUCUAGCUCAUAGCUUCGCCCUGCUACGAAGCGUGUGUGCUUGUACAAAGGCCGUUUAGCGUCGGGAUUUACACUCGGCUCUACACGGAUAUGUGAAGAAUGAAGGGACCCUGCAGCGAAACGGAGAGCCAACCUCUGACUGAGUGCCUGUCUACACAGUCUGACCACCUGUUGAAGGUAAGGUGCUAACGUGGCUAACGCUAGCAUCACCGCACCUAGCCCCGUUAUUUUAAGGUCAUCUUAGCUAAUGAAAGUUUUACGUCGCAGCUGUACAAGCUCGCUACGUGUUUUGUAAGCUGCUGUGCUCUUCACAAAUAAAGCUGGAAGCAGCUCAGACUGUUAGAACCAGCACUGAGGCCUGUUACAUUUAUACAGUGUUAAAGCAAUGGCUGCAACCCACAGCCUUUAAAAUAGCGAUUACAAUGCUGACAGUAAACUCGUCAGUCCAGAUGUUACCACAUUACUCUAUGGUACUUAGAGUUAAAAACAACUGAGACAGGCUGAUUAAAAUAACAGCUGUCAGUUCUCCCAUUCCUUAUAUCAAGACUGGAGAUCACACUACUGAUUUCAGUUCAUUUAAUAUGUGAGUGCACAGAUUCAUUCUCAACUGGACAUAAAUGAUGAUCAAAGGUUGUAUAUAUGAUGAAUUCAUCAAAUCCCAGCCUCUAACACAGCGCGCUGAAUCUUAGCUUUGAAUGUCCAGUAUAUUCUAAUCAGUGCAAUGUAAGCAUUCACCGAACCUAUAGUAUCUACACCUGUGUGGCAAAUGUGUGGUAAAGAUACAGAUAAUGAAAUUUAAUUAUUAAUACAAUAUACAUCAUGAAAAAUGAAAGCUGAAAUUGAUUCAGUUUAGUACUUUUCUCUGUAUGCUCUGUGAUUAUAAAGGCCUUAAAUUCUGUGACAUAUACUGUAAAUAAUUUUCACAGAGGUCUUAAAGUACUUAAAUCACUGCUGAUAGUCUGGUUGUUUACAUUUUCACAUGUUUUUGUGUCUGUAGGGCUGUUUGAUGACGAUUUGGACUCCUCUGGGAGAUGAGGACACACCCACAUCUGUUCCAUACUGCAGCCAUGGAUGGUGUUACAGCUCUGAGUCAGCUUUGGGCCAUCAGACGCACACACUGGAAAACCAGCACCUGGACUUCAUGCAGGAGAGACUGCCUCAGUGAUGUAGGUUCAUAAGCGAGUUCAAACAUUUCUGGCCUCUUAUCACUUAGAUUUUGAAUGCAUUUAAAGCAGGAACUGCACACUAGGGGUGGGUUUUAAUAAUCGAUUCAUCGAUUAAAAUCGAUUCUGGCUUGGAUAACGUGAAAUCGAUUCAUUAAAAUCCUGAGUCGAUUUUUUUAAUAUAAAUUUAUUUUGCCCGAAACGCCAGAAUCUCGAGUGAAACCUCACAAAAUUUCAACAACCACCAAACAGCUAAGACAGUAAAUGAGAUCAGGUACACGGAUUCUGCACAAGGACGUAAACACACAGCGCGGACCCGCGGAUCAGAAUCAGUGAGAUGUCGCCUUUCUCACCCGACGGGCGCUGCAGCUUUAAGCGUCUGCGCGCGUUCCCACGGACGGCAAUCACUUUCUGGCACAACAACUGCACGGACACGGUCGGUGCUGAAAGCUGACAGCUCCCUGAUUCUGAUAUUUCGGCGGGUAGCACUUUGUGUUCACGCCCUUUUUGCGCUGAUUCUAAAGCUGUUAGUUUUAUCUCUCUCCAAACAAUAUUGACCGAAGCAGCAGCAAAAGAAGAUCCAAACUACGCUUCACGUAAACAUCGUCAUGAAUUCCCUCUGACUUUUACUGUUUUGCUUCACCCACGAUAAAAUCACACGUCAUGCACAGCUCCCUCUCUCUCUCUGUGUACUGUUUUCUGCAUUAUUCGCAUUAACAGUAACUCUGUUGUUUACAGCGCUGUCGGCCGCUGUUUUUUUUUUUUGUUUUGUUUUUUCAUUUUACAUUCUUCCGAAAGAAACAGAAUUUCUGCCGUUCAAUACUGAACAAAUUUAAACUUUUUAAAAUUAUGCAAAAUGCAAAACGCUCAGCCGUGUCUCUAAUAAAACCACUGUAACGUCAGAGGUAACGUUCAUAUGUUGAUUAAUGGUUUUCUUUCGUUUUUGAUGUACUGCAGAAUAUUUUAUAAAAUCCCAGGCCAGGAAACCACCUUCAUGUUUUUAUGUUUUAUCUUCAGCUACUUUGACACAAAAGCAUCUGCUGUGACGCUCACACCUUUGAUAAAGUCUUGCGUGUGUCAGCUUCCUUUUUAUAGAUACAAAAAUAUGUCAAUGUACUGAUCUGAAUUAUAUUUCUGUCAAAAUUUCCCAGAUUCAAAUCGAAUUUAAUCGAAUCGUGGAUCGAAUCGAUUCGGGACCUUGUGAAUCGGAAUUGAAUCGAUUCUAGAAAUCAGUGACGAUACCCAGCCCUACUGCACACCUAGCUGUCAAAAGUUUGGCAGCAUGAGUACUGUAAAGUUUUGUAGGGUCCUUGUUAAAAAUUCCACAAGCACCACACCACAUUUGUCAUAUACAGUUCCAUUUUGUACAGGACAUUUUGAAAUUAUAUAUAUAUAUAUUCUAGUUAUCCACUUGUCAGU